UACGUAGGGUGCGAGCGUUAAUCGGAAUUACUGGGCGUAAAGCGUGCGCAGGCGGUUGGGCAAGACAGAUGUGAAAUCCCCGGGCUCAACCUGGGAACUGCAUUUGUGACUGCACGGCUGGAGUGCGGCAGAGGGGGAUGGAAUUCCGCGUGUAGCAGUGAAAUGCGUAGAUAUGCGGAGGAACACCGAUGGCGAAGGCAAUCCCCUGGGCCUGCACUGACGCUCAUGCACGAAAGCGUGGGGAGCAAACAGG
rnacentral:rRNA from 1 species